AUUUAUAUUCGGUACUGACACACUUGUUAGUGGCCGAUGACCUGUGUGGCAUGGGCACCAACCAACCAAAUGGAUGCCAGCCAAUCAGCGUGCAGAUGCCUGUGAACAAGGUGUACUAGUUUGUACUGGGAGAGGUCUACGCUACAGAGACCUGCAACAUUAACUCGCCAUAAAAUAUCAGUGGGGAUCGAACCUAUAACCUUGACAUAUAGGGACAAUGCUUUAAUGAACUAAGCUACCCAGAGAGCGCCCCUUGUACUUUCAAGUAACCUGAAUUUGGUUAAGUCAUCUUCUGCUGCCUUAGAGAAAACAGAGAGUUGUUUCUAUGUGUGCUUUAUGAAGGAUGCUAGUAAAGUGUGCAAACUAAUCGCCAACAAUGCACUAAAGUCAGACACCAGGGCUUCCCCAGAGCUGAGCACCACCACCAGGAGGUCCUGCUGGGGCAGCAGCGGAGGAUAAAGAGUGAAGAUACUCAGGAUGACAAGACAAACCUGCUGUCUACGCAGGUAACCAUGGCAGAGAUAUGGAAGGAAUGCUCAACGAAUUUUUUUCUUAAAUAAAAAUAGAAUUCAACCAUAGCACAGACUUACUGCUAUGUGUCCGAGAGACGGAAAAGUAAACUGCCCAGCUUUCCUGAAAUGAAAGCAUGAAAUUGGCCCAAGGUUUUCUAAGCAGUUUUGCAACACCUUGACAGCUGUUUGCCCUUCUUUUCGAGGCUGUUAAAAACUGGCUUCCAUCCAUGACUAACUUUUAAACUGAAAAAAUAAUGUGGAUUGUUUGUAGGAAAAAGGAAAUCUCUGGUGGUGAAGAAGAAAUAUGUCAAAGUGUUGACAUUUCUGUUUCACAAUUUUAGCGAGUUAACUUCCCUUUCAUUUAGCUCUGUAUUUCAUUAUUCACUUAAUAGCAGGUGAAAACAAAAUUAUUUGUGAUGACAAAAUGUCAUGAAUUUGUACUUCAAUCAGAUCAGGUUGGUUGGUUUGGAGGAGGCAAAACAAACUAAAGCAAAGGAUAUCCAUAGUGCUAUAAUGGAAACUGGAUCUAUUUCUCACCCAGAGCCUGAAAUUUUCAGUCUC